rnacentral:tRNA from 1 species
AUUAUUUUGGCAGAUUAGUGCAUUAAAUUUAGAAUUUAAUUAAAUAGUAAAGUCUAUAAAUAAUA